AGUGAACGCUGGCGGCAGGCCUAACACAUGCAAGUCGAACGGCAGCACAGUAAGCGCUUGCUCUUACGGGUGGCGAGUGGCGGACGGGUGAGGCAUACAUCGGAAUCUACUUUUUCGUGGGGGAUAACGUAGGGAAACUUACGCUAAUACCGCAUACGACCUACGGGUGAAAGCAGGGGAUCUUCGGACCUUGCGCGAUUGAAUGAGCCGAUGUCGGAUUAGCUAGUUGGCGGGGUAAAGGCCCACCAAGGCGACGAUCCGUAGCUGGUCUGAGAGGAUGAUCAGCCACACUGGAACUGAGACACGGUCCAGACUCCUACGGGAGGCAGCAGUGGGGAAUAUUGGACAAUGGGCGCAAGCCUGAUGCAGCAAUACCGCGUGAGUGAAGAAGGCCUUCGGGUUGUAAAGCCCUUUUGUUGGGAAAGAAAAGCUGCGGGUUAAUACCCCGCUGUUCUGACGGUACCCAAAGAGAAAGCACCGGCUAACUUCGUG
rnacentral:rRNA from 1 species